rnacentral:rRNA from 1 species
GGCUGUUCGCCUAUUAAAGCGGUACGCGAGCUGGGUUCAGAACGUCGUGAGACAGUUCGGUCUCCUAUCUGCUGUAGGCGUCGAAUACUGAAAGAACUCACCCCUAGUACGAGAGGACCGGGGUGGACAAACCUCUGGUGUACCAGUUGUUCCUACCAAGGGCAUCGCUGGGUAGCUAGGUUUGGUACGGAUAAGCGCUGAAAGCAUCUAAGCGCGAAGCCGUUCUUAAGAUUAGUAUUCAUUUGAGACACGUUCGAGACUAGAACGUUGAUAGGCACCAGGUGUACAUGUGGCGACACAUUCAGCCGAGGUGUACUAAUUGUUCGAGCGU